GUCCAGGGAUGGGAAUCGAACCCAGUGUUCCGCUUACCGGGCAGAUGCCAUGUCCACUAGGCUACCCUGGU
rnacentral:tRNA from 1 species